UGGGGAAUUUUGGACAAUGGGCGAAAGCCUGAUCCAGCAAUGCCGCGUGUGUGAAGAAGGCCUUCGGGUUGUAAGGCACUUUUGUCCGGAAAGAAAUCCUUGGCUCUAAUACAGUCGGGGGAUGACGGUACCGGAAGAAUAAGCACCGGCUAACUACGUGCCAGCAGCCGCGGUAAUACGUAGGGUGCAAGCGUUAAUCGGAAUUACUGGGCGUAAAGCGUGCGCAGGCGGUUUGCUAAGACCGAUGUGAAAUCCCCGGGCUCAACCUGGGAACUGCAUUGGUGACUGGCAGGCUAGAGUAUGGCAGAGGGGGGUAGAAUUCCACGUGUAGCAGUGAAAUGCGUAGAGAUGUGGAGGAAUACCGAUGGCGAAGGCAGCCCCCUGGGCCAAUACUGACGCUCAUGCACGAAAGCGUGGGGAGCAAACAGGAUUAGAUACCCUGGUAGUCCACGCCCUAAACGAUGUCAACUAGUUGUUGGGGAUUCAUUUCCUUAGUAACGUAGCUAACGCGUGAAGUUGACCGCCUGGGGAGUACGGUCGCAAGAUUAAAACUCAAAGGAAUUGACGGGGUCAUAGCUGUUUCCCU
rnacentral:rRNA from 1 species